rnacentral:lncRNA from 1 species
UCAAUCUUGAAACUGAAGCACAUUUGAUGAGUUUUCUAAUUGAUUUUUUUGGGGAAAAACUUUGUUUUAAGAAGAAAAGGUUGCUUGUUUCUAUAGUUUUCCAUGUGGCGGAUGGCCAUUGAGGUUCAUGGCUCUUGUUCAUGGGGAUGUUGAAAGAGAAUCGGAUAAAAGCCAUGGAAAUUCCUAUUCUUGAUACAAGUCUUUCUGAGCUAUGUUCUGUUUGGGGCUUGGAAGAGAGGGAGGAGGAGAUAGAGGUAUGGUUGGGGUGGAGAUGGGGGCCAAGGGAGUAGGAGAGUUCAUUAAAUUUUGAUGGAAAAAAUUGGAGUUUGUGGUAGAAAAAAGUUGAUCGCUAUGUAGAGGGGGACAAAAAUGGACAUCCAACUGCUCGCACCGAUUCGAACGUGAUUGAAAUUACAUAAAUUGAUGUUUAUAGUAAGCUUCUUAAAAUUGUAAUUAGGAUGGUCUGCAUUUUAUUGGAUGAUCAAUCCCACGAUCUGACGAAUUUUCUGCACAUGGACCACUGAUGAAUGAUGUUUGAGACGCCCCUUAUGAUUUGGUUUGAUUUAGCUAAACGUAAAGCUACCCAUGCUCCUAAUUAACCGGUGGAUUUGGAAACCACUUACCUUGGCUCAGGCCAUCAAGUGGGACUUAAGUCAAGAGUGAUGCUAAAACAUCUGUGAUGGGUUAUAGGUGGGGGUUCAAAUCCCACCUGCAACGAAAAAAAUUCAAGAGUGAUGCUAAAACAUCCCUUUGAUCUAAUAAGAUCUGUAUAUUUGCUAGUCUUUAACAUAAGUCUCUUUAGACUUUCCUCACCUCUAGUUUAGGAUAGAAUAGAUUAUACAAUAGUUAUCGUCUCGAAAAAAAGAAGAAAAUUAACCUGUGGAUUUGAAGCCUCACAAGUACGUGGAAUUACACAAGUAUGCAUAGCCAAAGAUUUAAAAUUUUUAAUUGCUUAAUAGAUCAUCCUUUGAUUAAAUACAUAUGACAUAAAAUUAAUUUAAAAAGAUUAUCUUAAACAGCUCAAAAAAAUUACCUUAAACAUUGAUGAUCUGCUCAAUCCUGUUAAAGAUUUGACGUAGAGGAAGACAAAGAGAUCCAUGUAGCAAUCUCACCUCAAACAUUAUUGAUAGCGUGCUUAAACCUGUCAGAGAUUUGGCAUAGAAAAGGGACAAUUUCAGAAACCUCCCUUGAGUUUUCUUAUUAUUUCAUUUAGUUCUCUUGACGUUUUAAAAAUUACACUUACUUCCCUUGAUUUGACACUUUGAUAACCAAACUUUAAAAUAGAGUAAAAAAUUUAAUGAAUACCCUAAAAUAUCCUUAUCUUACAAAGUUCAAUUUGUUCUUCUAAACAAAAAGAAUGUCAAAUUUUUCAUGUCAAUAUUUGUUAUUUGAUAAUCAACUAUAACAAUAAAUCUUUUGCUAUAAUAGAGUAUUUUUCAUAGUACUUUAUUUGGGAAUAUAAAUUCAUUUUAAGAUAGAGAAAAAAGAGCUAAUUUGUUUCUUUUAAAGUUUAUGGACUUUUUUUAAAUAAAAGUUUAUGGACUAGUUUGUUGAUGAAAAAAAUAAAUAAAAAAAGACUAGUUUGUUGAUGGAACUAUCAUAAUUUAGUAGUGAUUUUGUUCUAUUUGUUUUAAUCAUUGUUGACUUAUCUUGAUUUUGAUACCAAUAAAAAGAGCUACAAAAAAAAUUGGAUGAUAUAAAAAGUUAUCAAACUAUAUUACUAGUUUAAUGUUUAAUUUGGAUAGAUAUUGGGGACAACAUUAAUAGCUCUUCUAUACUUCUAAUGAAAUAUAAGAGAAAUGAAUAAGAAUGAAAAACGUAAAAAAAAUUAUAAAAUCCAUCCUUUGCACAAACAUGGUAACAAGAGAGUUUUAUUAGAAAUAUUAAGGUUAGUAUUAUCAUUUUAAAUGGACAAGGGAGGUAGGUGUAAUUUUUGAAACACUAGGGGAGCCAAGUGCAAUUAUUAGAAACCUCAAGGGAAGUUUAUGCAAUUAUUCCCAUAAACAAAGACGAAAAGAUCCAUGUAGCAAUCUUCAACGAAGAGGAAGACAAAAUGAUCACGUAACCACCAGAGACUGAUUUUAUCCUUGUUUUUUUGGACGAAUUUUGGGUAUUUUUUUGUCAAUAUUUUGAUUUUUCUAGAAAGUAUAAUUUGUGUGUCAAUUAGUCUUGCUAACAAGCAAAAAUGAGUAUUUAUCGACAAAUUAGGUGCUUAUAUCCUUAUAGUAAACCUGAACCUGAAACUAGUUUCAAUAGGAUUUAGUUAUCUUAUUCUAACAUCAUCCUUGUUUUUGGAAGAUUUAAUCUUAUUUGCACCAUAAGUAUCUCAAUUAAUUUAUAUCACAAAUUAAACUAUAAGUUAUAAAAGUUUAUAUUUCAAGUCCCUACUUGAAAUUUUUUUAAUCCAGUUAAAGAAGUUCUUAAUGUUUCUUAAUGUGUGUGAACCAUUAGACUCUGAUAUAUAUUGGCGAUAAGUAUGAGUUAUAAUUCUUAAUUAUUAAGAAUUAGAUAAAUUAAAAUUUCUUUUAAUUUAUAAUUGAUUCCACUAAUCAAUCGACUCAUUCUCAUAGAUCAAAAUUGGCAUCUAACAAUAUAUCUCUAGACAAUGGAAUUUUAAUUAAAUUCUAAAAAUUACCAUUGGUCUAUAAAUCAUUUUUAUAGUUUAUUUUCAUCCAAUCGGAUAUUGCCACAUGUCAUGUACACCUGGAAAGGUUGGUUAUUAACUGGCCAAUUAUAUUUGACCACGUGUCAAGUUGAGGUGUUCCAAAACAAUUCAAAUUGUAGGGAUAUCUCCACCAACCAAUUCAUAUCAUAUCACAUGCCUAUUGCAUAAAUAUCUAAGUAUUUAUUUCUUAUUAAAGGGAUAAUAUUUAGAGUUGUUUAAUCCAAGUAUAUUUCUUAUAUAUUGCAAUAGCUUGUCCAGUCAAAUGACGCCACGUCACGUGUUCCCACGAGUUUGGUCAAUCGAUAAAUUACUUAUCUCUUUAUUAAUAAAUAUAAAAUGAAGAGAUAAUAUUUGACUGGUAUAAUCCUAAUAUGACUGCACGUCUUGCAAGACAAGUAAAGUGGUACACAGAUUUUCAACCUCUACCUCUUGCUACAGCUAUAAAUAGGGGUCUAUCAAACCAAAUCAGGGACACACGGACACACAGAGACACUAAGAGGUAUCUCAUACACUCAAAGCAUUGGAGCUCCAAAGGCCCGGAUCUUCAAGCUCUCCAAGUCCCCCAUAUAACAAGACUUGAGUCUUCAAAUAUCUUCUAAAUUUCUUCAAAUCUUCUAUAUCAAGAUUUGAAGGAACCGGUGGUGGAUCCAAGAACAAGCUGCGAAGCCCUUGGAUUAGCAUUCGAGGAGGAGAAUCGAGGAAAACUCUCUACAAGUUCGAGAAAAUCCCAGAGAUUGUACUCACAUAUUUUCUUAAAUUUAUAUUACACAUUUGUCGUGUAUAUUUCUUGUUUUGGUUUGCAGAUUUGAAAUUUUAUCACGUACAAAUUUUUGGCACACCCAGUGGGACCAUCUCUGCCUUCCAUCUCUUCUUCUUGAAUAUUCAACUACGUAUAUCACCAAAGGCACCAAAGAACAACAAAAUCAUGAUUGCACGUUCCAAAGCUACUAAUGCUAAGCCUGUUCAGGAAGCUGCAUAUGUUGCCACCAAUACCCGCGCUAUUGGUCCUGUGACAAGGAGUAUGACGAGAGUCUCCACCCAAAAUAGCAUAGAAGCUCCAUCGGCGCCAACUCCCGUCUUCGGUUCGACAUCACCCAUGAGCUAUUCCUCUACGAUGGGGAUCCAAGACAUUCCUAUCUCGAUUAAGAAGGCUCUUGCCAUGCUCGAAUUUGGAUCCGAAUCCAAGUUUUCUAAGCAUGACGAUGAUUCAUCAAGCACUGGAUUAGCCUCUUCACAUGAAACUCUUCAUUCAAGAUUUUCUAUUGAACAUUCUGCUGCUUCUUCUACUGCAAUGCCUGCUAUGAUGAUAAAUAUUUUAAAUCUCGAAGAACAAGUUUCGAAUAUGUCCAAGAUGAUGGAGACCAUGAUGAAACACAUCAAGGACCAAGAUACUCUUAUUGCUCAACUGCUCACCCAGAAAAAUCACGUUUCUGAAGGAAGCCAUGCGAAUCCUAAGGAGCACCAAGAGCGUGAAAUUCCCUCAUCUAGAGACAAAGACAAGGUGAAGGAAGUAUAUGUGACCGUCGAUAGAGCUAUUCCCGUGGAAUAACUGAAGGAACUUGUUGAAGGCGUGAUCAAAGAUAAAAAGGAGGGUGGUUCAAAAUCAAACUUUACCUACUGCAAGCCCUACACUGCUAGAAUUGACAACCUAGCAAUGCCUGCUGAACAUCAACCGCCUAAAUUUCAACAGUUCGACGGGAAAGGUAGUCCAAAACAACAUGUGGCCCAUUUUGUCGAAACUUGUAAUAACGUUGGAACCUAUGGUGACCUGUUAGUCAAACAGUUCGUCCGAUCCUUGAAGGGUAACGCAUUUGAUUGGUACAUUGAUCUCACUCCUGAGUCCAUCGACAGUUGGGAACAGUUAGAACAAGAGUUCUUGAAUCGCUUCUACAACACUAGAAGAACCGUUAGUAUGCUGAAAUUGACUAACACUCGUCAAUGGAAGGAUGAACCUGUGGUCAACUACAUUAAUAGGUAGAAAAGUUUGAGCCUCAAUUGCAAGGAUAGACUGUCUGAACCUUCUGCCAUAGAAAUGUACAUUCGAGAAAUGCAUUGCAGCCUAAGUUACAUUCUACAGGGUAUACGUCCGAACACAUUUGAAGAAUUAGCUACUCGUGCUCAUGAUAUGGAGUUAAGCAUCACGACCAAUGCAACUGAUGAGUUUCCUAUUCAAACUCCGCGAGUGCAGCCGCCUCGUUAAAGCAAUGCAAAGCAAGAAAAUAAAAAAGGGGGCAAACCUCCUUCAAGAUUCAAUAGUAAGGAGUCCAUGGCAAUAAACACAGCUCCCAUGAAAAUUGCUACCAAGGUGAGUCGAAAGGUCACCGAAAAUGUAGACUCCCCUCAAAAUAGGUCGGUAAGAAGACCUACUCUAAAAGAAAUACAAGAAAAGGAAUACCCCUUUCUUGAAUCCGAUUUGCAAGGGAUGUUCGAUGAUCUUUUCAAGCAGAAGCUCCUUGAACUUCCUGACAUGAAAUGCCCAGAGGAAGUCGGUUAAAUCAAUGAUCCAAAUUAUUGUUGUUAUCAUUGCUUGAUUGGCCACUCUCUCACUAAAUGCUGUCUUUAAAAACAAAAUUAUGGAAUUGGCCCGUCAAGGGAAAAUCCUUCUCGAGGAAGAUAAAGUAUCGGCAAACCAAACAACAAUAAUGUUUGAGUCUGUAUGUUGUCCGAUAAAAGUUUUAUCCACACCAGAUAGUGCUUUGUCUAAGGAGCUUGAAAAAUUCUCAAUUGAAGAUGUUAUUAAAGAUGACAACGAAGGAUGGACUUUAGUUACUCGAAAGAGGACUUGCAAGCUAAAAAUAAAGAAGCACAUCUUUUCAAAAAGCAUUCGUUCGACAAAGUCGAAAGUGACAAUGAAACAAUGAAAUGCAACAAAAAAAAAUAAAAGGCCACAACGUCAAUUCCUUCAGAUUUUCAGCUCUUUCAAGAGAUUCGACAGCCCGUGACACUGAGAGAAUUUAUACUUAAGGGGUAUUUAAAUGACGAUACUGAUAAUUCCACUUCUUGUAAUGUCGUCAAAGCUGAAAAUCCUCAAAUCACAUAAAUUGGCACUAAAUUUGAGGAAAAACUCAAAAUCGAUGAUAAACCACCAGUAGAUUGUGCAGCGACUAUCAUUUUUUAUGAUGACGAUUUAACUGUUGAGUUCAAAACUCACAAUCGACAUUUGUUUGUUAGUGCGUAUGUCCGAGAACAGAAGAUGAAUCGGAUACUCAUUGAUGGGGGAUCUGCUGUCAAUAUUAUGUCCUUACAUGUUAUGAAAGAACUAGGAAUCUCAAGCGAUGAACUCUCUCAAAACCGCCUCAUGAUCCCAGCAUUUAACUAAGGGGGGAAAAGAGUAAUUAGUCUCACAAGGCUUGAAUUGCUCAUUGGUGAGUUAUCUUCAAGUGCGUUAUUUCACAUCAUUGAAGCCAAAACCUCUUAUAAUAUGCUCUUGAGACGAUCUUGGAUUCACGAGAAUGAAAUUAUACCAUCUGCUCUGCAUCAAUGUUUCAAAUAUUAUCAAGACGGUAUAGUUAAGAAGGUUGUCGCCGAUGAUAAACCUUUCACUGUGGCCGAAUUUCACUUUGUCGAUGCCAAAUUUUAUUUUCAGAAAGAGGCAAAAAGAAAAGAAUCAGUAAAGGAAGAAAGUCAAGAUUUCAAAGUACCCAUUUUGCGGUAUAUUCCAAGGUCAAAGAGAGAAGAAAGUCAAUCUUCUUUUAUCAGAAAUGACACAUUAAAUGUUCCGCUCACCAAAAUAGAGCCUGUUAAGAGAGAGAAAGUGAGCUUGUAAGAAUUUGUUCGUCCCAAAAAAGAAUCGGAAGUAUAACAUUACUCACUACCAACUAAUCGAACUCAAAAAGAUUUUGAUCCAAACGCAUAUAGACUUUUGCUAAGGCCGGUUAUAACCCAAAUGAGAAGCAUGCAUUAGAAAAACUCCCUCCUGAAGUGACUGGCGAGAAGACUCAUAGAUUAACACCUACGCAAAAAAUGUUGAAAGAAAAAUGUUAUAAUGUUGAAAGUUCAUCGAUGGGUCUUGAUUAUCAAUCGCCUUCUCCAGUGUGUAUAAUGAUCAAAAGGGCAAGUUGUAAUUAUGUGAACGAAGAAAUGGAAGUAUCAAGCCGAAAGAGGUUUGUUUUCGACAGAUUUGAAAAUAAGUCAAAACAUACUUCUGUGUUUGACAGACUCGGCCCGCAGCUAAAAAAUUUGAAACCGCCCAUCUAUGAGAAAUUGGGCAGCAAAAAACAAGGGUACCAAGUUGUCAAGAAAGAAAAUCUUACUCCAAUAAAGAAAAAUAGUACGAGAAAACGAGUUUUCAAUUUCUUUAUGCAUUAUGGAGACUUGUUUAACGUAAGGAUCGAAACCAUUUUUGAAGAACAAGGUCAAGAAAGUAUUGUUUCUUACCAUCAUAUUACGAUCAGUGAUCCUGAAGAAGAAGAAAAAGAUGCAGAUGACGUUCCCGCUGAAUUUGAACAAGGAGUAGAAAAUACAGUCGAUACCUUAAAAGAGAUUAAUCUUAGCACAAGUGACGACUCUCGCACAAUUUACAUAAGUUCUUGUAUGACUCCUGAAGAAGAGAAAGAGUAUGUUGAUUUGUUACUCGAGUUCAAAGAUGUCUUUGCCUGGAAUUACUCAGAAAUACCUGGUUUGGAUCCUAGAGUCGUUGUUUAUAAUUUAUCUGUCAAGCGAUGAACAAAACCUGUCAAGCAAACUCAGAAACACUUUCGGCCCGAAUUGAUUCCUCUGAUAGAAAAUGAGAUAAACAGACUGAUUGAAUCUGGGUUCAUAUGAGAAGUGAAAUAUCCAACAUGAAUUUCAAACAUUGUCCCUGUGAGGAAGAAGAAUGGACAAAUCCAAAUUUAUGUUGAUUUUCGAGACUUAAAUGAGGUUUGCCCCAAAGAUGAUUUUCCACUCCCCAUCACAGAAUUGACGGUAGAUGCUACGACCGGGCACGAAGCACUAUCUUUUCUCGAUGGAUUAUCUGGCUACAAUCAAAUACGUAUGGCGUCCGAGGAUGAGGAGCUCACUGUUUUCCGCACCCCCAAGGAAAUUUAUUGCUAUAAAGUGAUGCCAUUUGACUUGAAAAACGCUGGAGCAACAUAUCAGAGGGCAAUGCAAAGAAUUUUUGAUGAUAUGUUCCAUAGAAAUGUGGAGUGCUACGUUGAUGACCUUGUGGUGAAAUCAAAAAAGCGAGAGGAUCAUAUUCAAGACUUUUGAAGAGUUUUCCAACGCCUUCGGAGAUACCAAUUAAAAAUGAAUCAUUUGAAGUGCGCAUUCGGAGUCACUUCUGGCAAGUUUCUCGAUUUCAUUGUUCAUCAACGGGAAAUAGAGGUCGAUCGAUCUAAAAUUAAUGUCAUUGUGAACAUGUCUGAACCGUGAAAUAUUCAUGAAUUGAAGAGUUUUCAAGGGAAGUUGGCAUAUAUCCGGAGGUUUAUCUCUAAUUUGGCCGGACGAUGCCAAUCCUUCAGUUGAUUGAUGAAGAAAGGGGUGCCCUUCGAGUGGGAUGAAUCGUGUAGAAAUGCUUUUACAAGCAUCAAAACGUACCUCAUGAAUCCCCCAGUGUUGGCUGCACCCAUCCCAGGAAAACCAGUGAUUCACUAUAUUUCCGCUCAAGAACGGUCGGUUAGGGCCUUACUUGCUCAAGAAAAUGAUGAAGGUAAGGAGAAUGCAUUGUAUUACUUGAGUCGAAUGAUGAUAUCUAAUGAGUUGAAUUACUCAUCCAUCGAGAAGUUGUGUUUGACACUUAUAUUUGUCAUUCAGAAGCUAAAACAUUAUUUUCAAGCACACACUAUUCGACUCAUAUCUAAGUCUAAUCCCAUUAAAUAUAUCAUGGCAAAACCUGUACUGUCUGAUUGACUCGUGAGAUGGUACCUCCAGUUUUAACAAUUCGAAAUUAUUUAUGUACCUGCGAAGGCUGUCAAAUGACAAAUAUUGAUAGACUUUUUAGCCGAUCAUCCCAUACCUGCCAAGUGGGAGUUAACUGAUAAACUCCUCGAUAAAGAAGUGUUUGUGGUCGAAUCGCCGUGGUUAAUGUAUUUCGAUGGAGCUGCUCACCGUGAUGGAGCUGGUGCGGAAGUUGUCUUUUAUACUCCUGAAGCAAAUAUAUUGCCGUACUCUUUCACUUUAACACGCCGGUGUUCAAACAAUGUGGCCGAAUAUCAGGCGUUAAUUCUCGGUUUUGAAACGGCUGUAGACAUGAAGCAGUUGCAUCUUAGAGUCUAUGGUGAUUCAAAAUUGGCGGUAAAUCAACUUUUUGGUAUUUAUGAUGUCAAGAAACCUGAAUUGAUCCCAUAUUAUAAGUAUGCAAGGCAACUCAUGGAAUAUUUAGAUAAUGUCACUAUAGAACAUAUCUCUAGAAAUUUCAACCAACAAGCUGACUCUUUGGCAAGGAUGGCAUCCAUGAUCACUCUACCUUCUCAUCGAAAUCAAAUUUUAAUAUGUCAAAAUUGGGUCAUACCUCCGAUGUUUGAUAAAGAAAAUGAUGGGGAGGAAAAAAAUGCUUAUCAUAUUUUUGUCCAUGAGAUCGAAAAGGAGGAUUGGCGUCAUCUCAUCAUUGAUUACCUUAAUCAUGAGAAGUUACCAGAAGAUCCUAAGAAAAUGGUUGAUAUACGUCAUUGAGCACCAUGUUUCAUUUACUACAAAGGGACGCUUUACCGAAAAUCAUUCGAUGGGGUGUUUCUACGAUGUCUUGGAGAAGAUGAGGCCAUGCAAGUAAUGGAGGAGGCUCAUUCUGGGAUAUGUGGUGCUCACCAAUCUGGCCCAAAAUUACACUUUCGCAUUAAGAGAAUGGGAUACUACUGGCCAACGAUGGUAAAAGACUGUAUUGAUUUUGCUAGAAGAUGUCAAGCUUGUCAAUUCCAUGGCAAUUUCAUCUGUUAACCUCCUGAACCAUUGCAUCCAACUGUGGUUUUUUGGCCUUCGAUACUUGGGGUUUGGAUAUAGUUGGACCGCUCCCAAAAUCUUCUGGAGGACACAUUUUCAUUUUGGCAGCAACGGACUAUUUCUCGAAGUGGGCCGAAACGGUUCCUCUAAGAGAGGUCAAAAAGGAGAAUGUAGUAGAUUUCAUUCGCUCGCACAUCAUUUAUCGGUAUGGAGUCUCGCGUUAUAUUAUCACCGAUAAUGAUAAACCUUUUUGCAAUGUAGCAAUGAACAAGUUUUGCGAAAAGUUUCAUUUCAAACAAUACAAUUCGUCCAUGUACUACGCUGCCGCAAAUGGACUCGCUGAAGCAUUCAACAAAACCUUAUAUAAUCUGUUGAAGAAAAUCGUGGAUAAAUAGAAAAGGGAUUGGCAUUUUCGAAUUGGAGAAGCACUUUAGCCAUACCGAACUAUUUUUCGAACUCCCACGUAAGCGACCCCAUACGCGCUUGUUUACGGCGUUAAAACUGUUCUUCCACUUGAGUGUCAAAUACCUUUGCUAAGAAUUGCGAUUCAAGAAGGGUUCAGUGAAGAAGAUAAUGUUCGUCUGUGCCUUGAAGAGUUAGAAGCACUCGACGAGAAGAGAUUGGAAACCCAACAACGAAUUGAGUGCUAUUAAGCCCGCCUUUCAAAAGCAUUCAAUAAGCAUGUCCAACCACGCUCUUUCCAGAUUGGAGAGUUAAUACUCGCCAUUCGGAGACCGAUCAUUCUCACUCAUGGCGACCAAAGAAAGUUUACUCCUAAGUGAGAUGGUCUAUAUGUUGUUCGAGAAGUGUAUACAAAUGGUUCAUACAAGUUGGUUGCUGAAGAUAGAUUAAAGGUCAGCCCCAUCAAUGGCAAGUACCUAAAAAGGUACUAUGCGUAAUCAGAACCACGCGAUGCUCCUGGUUCGCAUGAGGUAAAACUGUGGAUGGCAACCACCAAUAGUAUAAUAUGUGGUUAAACUGUUGAAACACUUCACCAAAUCUAGGUGGUAAACAAAUAGAUGCUCCUGGCCCGCAUGAGCUAAAACUGUGGAUGGCAACCAUCAAUAGUGUGGUAUAUAGUUAAACUGCUGAAACACUCCACCAAGUCUGAGGUGGUAAACAAAUAGAUGCUCCUGACCUGCAUGAGCUAAAACUGUGGAUGGCAAUUACCAAUAGUGUAGUAUGUGGUUAAACUGCUGAAACACUCCACAAAUUCUAAGGUAGUAAAUAAAUAGAUAUUCUUGACCCGCAUGAGAUUAAAAUGUGAACGGCAGGAAUUACGUGUGACUUGAUUCCCUUCGGGGAUACGUAGGCAGCUUAGAGGGUAACUUCUAAGUUCAGUUACACCUUCUAAACCAAACAUUCUUUCCUUGCAAAAAAAAAAAAGAAAAGAAAAGAGGAAGAACUUCUCUUUUUCUUUGAGAUAAAAUACUAAAUUUAAAAAUUCUUUUCUCUUAAAAAAAACAAGAGAUAAGAAAUGGAAAGUAUUUUAUUAUUCAAAAAAAAAUCAUUACAUGAAAAAAAAUGAUAAAAGAAUUCAGGGAAAAGAAGAACAAGGUGGAAAGCCUAAAUAUCAAAUUUAUAUUCCACUACAACUACUUUAUAUGAUUCAAGUGCAGACUUCAUGUCUUCAAGUUCCUUCACAGCGUCAUCAGUUAAGAUGCUAGUAUUUUUAAUAGAAGAUAGCUCAUCAUGUGCUUGGGUUAUUUCGGUCUGGAUCUCUUUGAAAGUUUCAUGCUUUUGAUCGAUAGUUGAGCUGAUUUCCAGGCUUUAUUUUUCCAAAUUGAUAAAUUCCUGUUGCAGAACUUUCUCCCUGUCUUUAAUGGACUGCAACUUUUCUUCAAGACUUUGCAAAUGACAAGUUAGUUCUUCUUCCUUUGCCUUAACUCUUCCGAGUUGGACGGUCGCUUUGGAAAGGAGUUCUGCAUGUGUUUCUUUGUUCAUCCUUUCCCACGAUGAAGAUGCUAGAGCAUCAUAUGCCUUCGCCUUGCCAAACAAUUCUAUCAAGUGAUCUUUUAAGGGGAGACCAGUGGUGGGAUUCGUUCUUGUGAUUUUUGCAAUGAUUUUCUCUGCAUACUCUUUUAAAGAAGAGAUCUGCUCAAUUGGAGUGUCAUGAAUCUGCCCGCGAAAAUCUAUCCACAAACUCUGUAAGUACUUUCUUCGUUGUGCCUGGAUCAACUUUUGGCCAUGAAAUUCUGAAACCAGUACUACCUUCGGUCUUUUUCGGAUUUCAUGUGAACUAGUUACCUCCUUCUUAUGCAUUGACGAGGUAUCUCCGCUAGGGGCAAAUUGUUUUGGGGUACUGAUAGCUAUUUCGUCACUUUUGUUGUUUAAAAUUAUAUCCUCAGUUUUGAGUUUGGGUGGUGAGUUGUUACCAACAUCUUUCUGACGAAAUUCAAGGAACGGGGGCUGAAAAAAAAAUGAAGGAAAAAUUUUUAAAAAAAAAAUUUACAAAAAAAGGGAAAAAAUGGAGAGGUGAUUACCCUAAGUGGCGACACUCCAACCAACGGUGGUGUAAAGGAAACCUCCUCCAAAUCAGAAGAUGUCCUCUUCUUUUAUCUGUUCCAGUGACGGUCUUGACUACUACUACCGCUCGCCAACGAAUGGGCUCCUCCUUGGGUAAAUCCGAUGCCCUGAACUUGAAUCCCUUCCUUUUCUAUAGCCUCGAUAGAAUCACAAUCAUCCACUGUUUCAAUUUCGACAUCUUCUUCUGUGCGAGUCACCGAUAAGGAUUUUGAAACUUUGGGCGGCGUUUUCUUUGCUGGAAUCACUGGUUGCGCCUCGUUGAUGGCCUGUCGAGAGUCCUUAGAAGACUUAUUUCUUACGACAAUGUUUUUCGAGAGAUUGCUAAUGAUUUUGUUCUUCCGCAAGGUGGAUGAGAUAAGACCCGUUACAAUCUCUAUACCUCCAUUAGGAUGCAUUGACUCAUUGGCGGAGGUAACCUUACCUUUUUUUGAUGAUUGCUGAGGGAUCUUAACGGUGAACUUAAAGGAAGUUGAAGAGACACUGUUUGACCGAGCCGACCAUCAGACGUCGUAGUCUUUUGUGAUCAAUGGGUGCUUCCUGUGCAUGGGUAUAGUCAUCUGAGAUCGCGUCUGCAUGCGAACUGAGGAAUCCCAUAGUUGAAUAGCCUCACCCAAAGUAUAAGUAUGAGUGAUCUCUUUCAAGUUGUUGAGAAUGUCCUGGCAGAAGCCGAAUUGUCUGCUAAACCUGCAAGGAUUAUACUUUUCAAUAAUGAAAGUAUUGUCCUUGCGUAGAGUUAAAUGACAAGAGCGUUAACUAAUGAAAUAACUCGUGAGUCGUGAUGAUAAGGAUCCAUCGUCGAUCAACACUUUUUCUUCAUUCUCAGUCCAGCACAGCUUGGGAAACAUCAGAGGGUUCACUUCUUUGAAGAUUUCCUCAACUUCAAAUUUACUGUAAAAUAUUGCCAUCUUCUCACCGCUAAAUCUCGUCAUGCGCGCAUAGUGGCUACUCACUUGAUUAUUCUCGUGAUAUACGUCAAAGUAUUGGUCAAUCCAAGCAUAGACGUAAUGGAUUGGAAAAGUUACCCCGCAUUCUCCAAGGUUAGCGGCGUGGACGAUCUCCCUCAACCCAUGAUAUAUGCUCGCAACAACGAAAAUUACAAGGCAAAAUCUUUUUCCUGUGGCCAUUAAGCAUGCAACCUUGAAGACACUUGGGCGAAUACGAUCGACCUUUUUGCUUGGUAAAAGGAACUUGCAAAUCCAACACGCUAUGAAUGCCGCAAUAUAAGUUUCUUUUCUUAAAGACCCUGGGAUACCUAAUAUGUCGAAAGGGACGUUGAAGUCCUUCGUAUCAGCAAUGUCGUAAGGCUCUACGCUUCCAGAAGGGUUGUAAGUCAUUUUCGGUUUAGUUGUGGUCUUUCUUCUAUUCGCUCUGCUUGGAGGUGCCCUAUACCUAGCAUCUCCUUUGAACUAGAAACGGAUCCAGUCUUUCAUCCAUACACCUUGGUCAUUCGUCCAAAGGUGGUAGUAAGGGGAAAAGAGGUGCCUGCAGCUCUCAAGGAGAAGUGGCUUCCCUUCUUUGUCACGAGUGAGAAGCUCCUACGCCGAAGGAACAACUUCAUCAAAGAACAAGCCAUCGAUCGAAAGGCCACCAAGUCAAUAAAGGUCCCAAAAUGUGAUGGACAACUCCCCAACGGGCGUGUGAAGUGUAUUUGUCGAGGAACAUCAAUAUUUGAAGAAGACUCGCAAGAUAUUUUCACAGCAGUCGUAGGAGUAUCUUAAUGCGUAGACAGCUUCAAAUAUGCCAGCGCGUGUGAGUACCUCUUUAUACCUUCCAAGAAUGUCGACCCACUCCCAAUAAUGGGAGGUGAAGCACGCCUCACCAAAGAAGGAUGAAGGGAUCUUCCAUGUAGUUUUGUCAAUAUUGAAUCCCACGAACGGAAGCGUGAAUUUGGCUAUUUCUGGGUCUCCAUUGUGGAGUGACGAGUUUAAUACGACCACUCCCUCUUCCCUCGACGUAGUGGAGAAAGUCGAUGGUGCCACAAUUUCCUUAGUCCACUUGCUAGUCCAAUUUUCGAGAUGAAAACAUCCUUCGAGGGGUAUGAAGGAUUCAGCGAGCGGGCCAAUUGUUGGUUUGUAAACAUGUAGUGACAAGCUCUUUGAGGAACAUCGGCUUCUAGGGUUUCUCUCUAGCUACGCACGAACUAUUUUGGCUCUCUAGGGUUUUUCAUGGCUUCAUCGGAGGCCCCCCAUCUGGGUGCUGGGGGGCAGCCUUCACCUGUGAAGUCUCAGCAGUCCUUCUCGGAUCUGUUCAAGAGUCCGACGGCGCCUGCUUUCUCGGUUCAGGCGACGGCUUCCACACAUCGUGGAGAGCCGGCUUUGAUUUUUUCACAGGAUGUGAUUCACAAGUUGUCUGAUCCAUUUCGAUAUGCGCUGGUUGGGAAAUUUCCUCGGGGUCGUCCUUCAAUGGAGUUGGCUCGUAAAUUUUUUGCAACGCUUGAUCUCAAACAGCCUGUUUCUGUUGGGCUGCUUGAUUCCCGCCACAUCCUCAUUAGGGUAGCCGAUGAGAGGGAUUUUCACCGUUUAUGGCUUCGGGGGGUCUGGUAUGUUCAGGGGCGGCCUAUGAAGCUGCUCAAGUGGACACCAGCGUUUCAUGUGGAUCGGGAGCCGUCUGUGGUACCGGUGUGGGUUUCUUUGCCCAAACUUCCCAUUCAUCUUUUCAAUCGAGAGUGUUUAUUUCAGAUUGUUGCUCUCUUGGGCGUUCCUCUCUAUGUUGAUGCUGCUACCGCAGCCAUGUCCCGCCCGAGUGUGGCUCGGAUUUGCGUAGAGGUGGAUCUCCUGAAGCCUUUAGUGUCUCGGGUUUGGAUUGGGAAUGGCGGACAGGAGGGGUUCUGGCAGAAUCUUGACAUAGAGCAUCUACCGGCCUACUGCUCUGGAUGCUUUUGACAGGGGCAUUGCAAGGAGGAUUGCGUACUGCUUCACCCGGAGUUGAAGGCCCAGGCUCGGCCCCCUGGGGAGGUGCGGCCUCCGGGACGUCGCAAGGGACGGCUGCCUGUUGCGGCUGUGGCGAGUGAGAAGGUUGCGGCGUCGGAGGAACUGGUCGCGGCUGCGUAUGUGGGAGAGAAGCCCUGUGUGUCGGGGGGAACUUGGGCCUGAAGCGACGGCUGGGCCUGGGUCGUGUGCCCAGGCUAAGGAGCCAGUGGAGGCAGCUGUCCUGGAUGAAGGGGAUGGGCAGGGUGUUUCGGUCCCUCCGGGGAUGCAGGCUAUUCACAAACGGACGUCGUUGGAUCUGGAUGUUGUGGUGGUUGAGGAGGCGUCGGAGGAUGAAGUCCAGGAUGGGCCGGAGAUGGAUGCGGUCCCCCUGUUGUCUCUUGCAAUAGCAGGGCAGCAGGAGCCUGGUGCAGUGGUGGAGCACCUAGUGGAGGACGCUAUGGUUUCGGCUGCGGAGGCGAUCAUUGUGGACCUUGCUGACCAGGUGGCUGCGGAGGUGGUUGAUGAUGAGUCUGCUUUGUCGGUGCACAUGCAGCAGGAGAAGGUUGUAAUCUCAGAACUGAACCUUUCUCCACGCAAAUCUGUUCCUCCCUUGGCGGCCAUGGAGGCGCUUAAACGUCGGCGUGGUGACAUGAAGCAGAGACAGCCUGGGGUGGUUGAGGCCCCGCCAGGUUUUCCCCCGUACUCU